rnacentral:misc_RNA from 1 species
CGACCCUCAAGCACAGCUUGGUGUUGGGCACGGUCCCGGGGGACCCGCCCGUAACUCGUAGGCGGUCGACGCCCGCGCCCCCAGCGUAGCAAGCUCACGCGUUCGCUCGGGGACGGCGCCUCUGGCCCGCUAAAUCAUUUUCAAG